rnacentral:rRNA from 1 species
UGGGGAAUAUUGCACAAUGGGCGCAAGCCUGAUGCAGCCAUGCCGCGUGUAUGAAGAAGGCCUUCGGGUUGUAAAGUACUUUCAGUCGGGAGGAAGGUGGUAAGGUUAAUAACCUUGGCAAUUGACGUUACCGACAGAAGAAGCACCGGCUAACUCCGUGCCAGCAGCCGCGGUAAUACGGAGGGUGCAAGCGUUAAUCGGAAUUACUGGGCGUAAAGCGCACGCAGGCGGUUGAUUGAGUCAGAUGUGAAAUCCCCGGGCUUAACCCGGGAAUUGCAUCUGAUACUGGUCAGCUAGAGUCUUGUAGAGGGGGGUAGAAUUCCAUGUGUAGCGAUGAAAUGCGUAGAGAUGUGGAGGAAUACCGGUGGCGAAGGCGGCCCCCUGGACAAAGACUGACGCUCAGGUGCGAAAGCGUGGGGAGCAAACAGG